rnacentral:rRNA from 1 species
GAUCCCUGGCUCAGGACGAACGCUGGCGGCAUGCCUAAUACAUGCAAGUCGAGCGGACUUGAUAAGAAGCUUGCUUCUUUGAUACUUAGCGGCGGACGGGUGAGUAACACGUAGGCAACCUGCCCUCAAGUUUGGGACAACUACCGGAAACGGUAGCUAAUACCGAAUAAUUGUUUUCUUCGCCUGAAGGAAACUGGAAAGACGGAGCAAUCUGUCACUUGGGGAUGGGCCUGCGGCGCAUUAGCUAGUUGGUGAGGUAACGGCUCACCAAGGCGACGAUGCGUAGCCGACCUGAGAGGGUGAUCGGCCACACUGGGACUGAGACACGGCCCAGACUCCUACGGGAGGCAGCAGUAGGGAAUCUUCCGCAAUGGGCGAAAGCCUGACGGAGCAAUGCCGCGUGAGUGAUGAAGGUUUUCGGAUCGUAAAGCUCUGUUGCCAGGGAAGAACGCUUGGGAGAGUAACUGCUCUCAAGGUGACGGUACCUGAGAAGAAAGCCCCGGCUAACUACGUGCCAGCAG